rnacentral:tRNA from 1 species
AAAAAGUUUAGUUAAAAUAUAACAUUAGUAUGUCAAUCUGAAAUAAUUACUCACUGUAAUAACUUUUA